AUGGGGCCAAGAAUGCGCCGUGGCGGGGGUGAGAGCGGCCAGGGAGCGAGCGUGGGGGCACCUCGGGCUGGCCACAAGCGGCCCAUUGUGGCGGCCGGAGGCGGGCACCGCUCGGGCUGCCCAGGAGGACGGCAGCCACUCGGCGGAGAGGGCAGCGGCUCCUGGGGCACCCCGGCAGCCCCCAGCCCGGCGGCAGGCAAGCCAUGUUGGCCCUGCUCAGCCCAGCCUGAUCCCUGCCCUCGCGCCUCUGCUUGCAGCCUGCCAUGGAGGAGGACGUCUCCCCGGGCCCUCGCCCGGACGGCCCCAGCCGCAUCCCGGGCCCCCCGCCGCGGCGGUACGGCCCCUCUGGGACCCCCACCCAGCGGAGCUGCCUCUGGGUCACCCUGCGGCACGGGGGGGCCCCCUGGCAGCGGCUGCGGGGCCCGGCCCCCAUCACCCCCGUCCCCCCGCGGCCCCGGCACGCUCCGGGGCCUGGCGGGACUGAGGCUGCCCCAGCGGAGAAGAUGCCGGGCACCGGGGACCCACGCACCGGUGGGUCUGCGCUGCGGGUCGGGCCGGGGGCACCCGGGGGCUCGGUGUGGGGCAGGAUGGGGGGCACGGGGGCGUCCCCUCUUCCCCAGUGGUGCUGAGGAACAGAGGAGGUGCUGGGGGAGAGUGGCAUCCGGAGGGGAAAUGUGGCUGGCUGACCAGCAAGGUCCCAGAGCUGGCAACGUACCAGGAGCAGCGAAACUGUGGUGCCCCAGCAUGGCGUGGCCGUGGCACCUGGUGGGAACCGUCGGAGAAGGGAAGGGACAUCUCCCUCUGAAGCAGCCGGACCAGGCAGGAGGGCAGCCAGGUGACCCUCACGGCUCCCCAGACACAAAUGGCAGCACCCCGCCCCGCUGCCCGCACACGCGUGUGCACACGCACGCACGCACACCGGUACACACGCAGGGGAUGGCCGUGCCUCUGCACCCAGGGCCGGCAGCCAGCAAUCGCGGUGCCAAGGGAGGAGAGGUUUCUCACGCCUCCGCAAGCGGAGCUGAAGGGCAAAUCGGUCUCAACAAACCGUUCCCAAAUCCCCUCUCUCCAGGAGACCUUGCCAUCCCCCGACCCCAGCAAACACCCGUGGGGCUGAGUGGCUUCUCAGCCACGAGGGGUUAA
rnacentral:lncRNA from 1 species